rnacentral:rRNA from 1 species
GUAGGUGGCAAGCGUUGUCCGGAAUUAUUGGGCGUAAAGCGCGCGCAGGCGGUUCCUUAAGUCUGAUGUGAAAGCCCACGGCUCAACCGUGGAGGGUCAUUGGAAACUGGAGAACUUGAGUACAGAAGAGGAAAGCGGAAUUCCACGUGUAGCGGUGAAAUGCGUAGAGAUGUGGAGGAACACCAGUGGCGAAGGCGGCUUUCUGGUCUGUAACUGACGCUGAGGCGCGAAAGCGUGGGGAGCAAACAGGAUUAGAUACCCUGGUAGUCCACGCCGUAAACGAUGAGUGCUAAGUGUUAGGGGGUUUCCGCCCCCUUAGUGCUGCAGCUAACGCAUUAAGCACUCCGCCUGGGAGUACGGCCGCAAGGCUG